CAGCACCUCAAGUGGUCAGGAUGAUUAUUGGGCCUAAAGCAUCCGUAGCCGGCGCUGUAAGUUUUCGGUUAAAUCUGUACGCUCAACGUACAGGCUGCCGGGAAUACUGCAGAGCUAGAGAGUGGGAGAGGUAGACGGUACUCGGUAGGAAGGGGUAAAAUCCUUUGAUCUAUUGAUGACCACCUGUGGCGAAGGCGGUCUACCAGAACACGUCCGACGGUGAGGGAUGAAAGCUGGGGGAGCAAACCGGAUUAGAUACCCGAGUAGUCC
rnacentral:rRNA from 1 species